UACGAAGGGGGCUAGCGUUGCUCGGAAUGACUGGGCGUAAAGGGCGCGUAGGCGGCGGUCACAGUCAGAUGUGAAAUUCCUGGGCUUAACCUGGGGGCUGCAUUUGAUACGUGGUUGCUUGAGUGGGGAAGAGGGUCGUGGAAUUCCCAGUGUAGAGGUGAAAUUCGUAGAUAUUGGGAAGAACACCCGUAGCGAAGGCGGCACUCUGGGCCGGAACUGACGCCGAGGAGCGAAAGCGUGGGGAGCGAACAGG
rnacentral:rRNA from 1 species